AGGAGGAAGCCGAAAAUCCUUAAAAAGAGUAGGU
rnacentral:ncRNA from 1 species